AGCGAACGCUGGCGGCAGGCCUAACACAUGCAAGUCGAACGAAGCCUUCGGGCUUAGUGGCGGACGGGUGAGUAACACGUGGGAACGUACCUUUUGGUUCGGAAUAACGCAGAGAAUUUGCGCUAAUACCGAAUGAGCCCUUCGGGGGAAAGAUUUAUCGCCGAAAGAUCGGCCCGCGUUGGAUUAGGUAGUUGGUGUGGUAAAGGCGCACCAAGCCUACGAUCCAUAGCUGGUCUGAGAGGAUGAUCAGCCACACUGGGACUGAGACACGGCCCAGACUCCUACGGGAGGCAGCAGUGGGGAAUCUUGCGCAAUGGGCGAAAGCCUGACGCAGCCAUGCCGCGUGAAUGAUGAAGGUCAUAGGAUUGUAAAAUUCUUUUACCAGGGACGAUAAUGACGGUACCUGGAGAAAAAGCCCCGGCUAACUUCGUGCCAGCCGCCGCCGUAAGAC
rnacentral:rRNA from 1 species